CACAGACCCGGUCAGACCAACGGGCAUUCCACCCAGAACCGGCCCAAGAUUACUUUGAUUACUAAACAGAAUGUGACUGAGGACCCCCAACGCACAUCUGCAUAAUGUCCACUAUUUAGGAAGUAAUAUUAAUGUUUUGGAGUGACUCACUUAAAACUGAUGAAAAACCUGCAAACGGAGCUAAAGUAGGAUAUACUGCGCAGUAUCUUUAUAUCAUAACCUGAUUAGGUUGCUGGCCAGGAGGCCCUCCAACCACAAAGACUUUGGAAAGGAGAGGUAGAAACACAGCUGGUAAUUAACCCCUUCACUGCAACCCACCAGAUGUGAGUGAAUGUGUCCAUGAGGGCAGCGGGGGCGUGUGACAGUUCAGGGGUUUUAAAGAUCCUUUUUUUUUAUUGAUUAUUGAGGAUUUCUAACAAUCAAUACGGAAUUUUUAAAGAUGAACCAAAAACAAGAUAUUUAAAUGUUUUUCUACAUGGGAUGGUGUUUUUCAGAGAUGCCCGUUUCAUUUCCUGUCAGAAUCUAAAUCCACCAUGGAUAUGAAUAAUUCUGUAAAGAUGCCUUAUAUGGCAGGUAUUGUGUUCUUGGGCUCCUUUUUGUUAGUUUCAGGUUGCUAAGCAGCGGGUUGGCUUGCUGUUGCCUUGGUCCGGCUCUACAUCCACCUGAUAGAAGUGUGUUUCA